rnacentral:rRNA from 1 species
AUACGGAGGUGACAAGCGUUAUCCGGAUUUACUGGGCGUAAAGGGCGUGUAGGCGGUCUUGCAAGUCAGAAGUGAAAUUCCUGAGCUCAACUCGGGCGCUGCUUCUGAAACUGCAGGACUUGAGUGCUGGAGGGGAUAGCGGAAUUCCUAGUGGAGCGGUAAAAUGCGCAGAUAUUAGGAAGAACACCGGUGGCGAAGGCGGCUAUCUGGACAGUAACUGACGCUGAGGCGCGAAAGCGUGGGGAGCAAACAGGAUUAGAUGCCCUGGUAGUCCACGCCGUAAACGAUGAAUACUAGGUGUAGGGGGUAUCGACUCCCUCUGUGCCGCAGUUAACACAAUAAGUAUUCCGCCUGGGGAGUACGGCCGCAAGGUUGAAACUCAAAUGAAUUGACGGGG